rnacentral:rRNA from 1 species
UCAAAGGAAUUGACGGGGCCGCACAAGCGGAGGAACAUUGUGGUUUAAUUCGAUGAUACGCGAGGAACCUUACCUGGGCUUAAAUGGGGAUGACAGCUGUCGAAAGAUGGUUUUCUUCGGACACUCUUCAAGGUGCUGCAUGGUUGUCGUCAGCUCGUGCCGUGAGGUGUCGGGUUAAGUCCCAUAACGAGCCGCAACCCUUACCGUUAGUUACCAUCAGGUUAAGCUGGGGACUCUAGCGGGACUGCCACCGUAAGGUGAGAGGAAGUGGGGAUGACGUCAAAUCAGCACGGCCCUUAUGUCCAGGGCUACACACGUGUUACAAUGGCCAGUACAAAGGGCAGCUACCGGGUGACCGGAUGCUAAUCUCUAAAGCUGGUCUCAGUUCGGAUCGAAGUCUGCAACCCGACUUCGUGAAGCUGGAUUCGCUAGUAAUCGCGCAUCAGCCAUGGCCGCGGUCCGAAUACGUUCCGGGCCUU